rnacentral:rRNA from 1 species
ACUGCUAUCGGAUUGAUACUAAGCCAUGCGAGUCAUUGUAGUAAUACAAGGCAGACGGCUCAGUAACGCGUAGUCAACCUACCCUAUGGACGGGAAUAACCUCGGGAAACUGAGAAUAAUGCCCGAUAGAACAUUAUGCCUGGAAUGGUUUAUGUUCCAAAUGAUUUAUCGCCGUAGGAUGGGACUGCGUCCUAUCAGUUUGUUGGUGAGGUAAUGGCCCACCGAGACUAUUACAGGUACGGGCUCUGAGAGGAGUGGCCCGGAGAUGGGUACUGAGACACGGACCCAGGCCCUAUGGGGCGCAGCAGGCGAGAAAACUUUGCAAUGUGCGAAAGCACGACAAGGUUAAUCCGAGUGGUUUCUGCUAAAGGAACCUUUUGUCGGUCCUAGAAACACCGAUGAAUAAGGGGUGGGCAAGUUCUGGUGUCAGCCGCCGCGGUAAAACCAGCACCUCAAGUUGUCAGGAUGAUUAUUGGGCCUAAAGCAUCCGUAGCCGGCUCUGUUAGUUUUCGGUUAAAUCUAUACGCUCAACGUAUAGGCUGCCGGGAAUACUGCAGAGCUAGGGAGUGGGAGAGGUAGACGGUACUCGGUAGGAAGGGGUAAAAUCCUUUGAUCUAUUGAUGACCACCUGUGGCGAAGGCGGUCUACCAGAACACGUCCGACGGUGAGGGAUGAAAGCUGGGGGAGCAAACCGGAUUAGAUACCCGGGUAGUCCCAGCUGUAAACUAUGCAAACUCAGUGAUGCAUUGGCUUGUGGCCAAUGCAGUGCUGCAGGGAAGCCGUUAAGUUUGCCGCCUGGGAAGUACGUACGCAAGUAUGAAACUUAAAGGAAUUGGCGGGGGAGCACCACAAGGGGUGAAG